UUCCUCAUAAUCAUUCAGUCAUAAAAUUAAAACAAUACAAGUAAACAACCAAUUCAACUAACUAAUUAAAUACCAAAACAAAUAUGG
rnacentral:rRNA from 14 species